rnacentral:rRNA from 1 species
UAGCCGUAAACGAUACUCGCUAGGUGUCGGCCACGGUGCGACCGUUGUCGGUGCCGUAGGGAAGCCGUGAAGCGAGCCACCUGGGAAGUACGGCCGCAAGGCUGAAACUUAAAGGAAUUGGCGGGGGAGCACAACAACGGGUGGAGCUUGCGGUUUAAUUGGAUUCAACGCCGGAAAUCUUACCGGGACCGACAGCAACAUGAAGGCCAAGCUGAAGACUUUGCCGGAUUAGCUGAGAGGUGGUGCAUGGCGUAGUCGU